GUGGGGAAUAUUGGACAAUGGGGGGAACCCUGAUCCAGCCAUGCCGCGUGUGUGAAGAAGGCCUUUUGGUUGUAAAGCACUUUAAGCGAGGAGGAGGCUACCGAGAUUAAUACUCUUGGAUAGUGGACGUUACUCGCAGAAUAAGCACCGGCUAACUCUGUGCCAGCAGCCGCGGUAAUACAGAGGGUGCAAGCGUUAAUCGGAUUUACUGGGCGUAAAGCGCGCGUAGGUGGCCAAUUAAGUCAAAUGUGAAAUCCCCGAGCUUAACUUGGGAAUUGCAUUCGAUACUGGUUGGCUAGAGGAUUGGAGAGGAAGGUAGAAUUCCAGGUGUAGCGGUGAAAUGCGGAGAGAUCUGGAGGAAUACCGAUGGCGAAGGCAGCCAUCUGGCCUAAUACUGACACUGAGGUGCGAAAGCAUGGGGAGCAAACAGGAUUAGAAACCCGAGUAGUCC
rnacentral:rRNA from 1 species